rnacentral:rRNA from 1 species
UACGUAGGGUGCAAGCGUUGUCCGGAAUUACUGGGCGUAAAGGGCUCGUAGGCGGCCAACUAAGUCAGACGUGAAAUCCCUCGGCUUAACCGGGGAACUGCGUCUGAUACUGGAUGGCUUGAGUUUGGGAGAGGGAUGCGGAAUUCCAGGUGUAGCGGUGAAAUGCGUAGAUAUCUGGAGGAACACCGGUGGCGAAGGCGGCAUCCUGGGCCAACACUGACGCUGAGGAGCGAAAGCCAGGGGAGCAAACGGG